rnacentral:lncRNA from 1 species
UAUGACUUAUUUUUUUAUUUUUCUUCAAUUUUUAUGCGUUAAAUUACAAGUACAAGUGCUUAAAAGCAAAUGGUACAGCUACUUCACAACAUAGAUUGAAUAUUUUCAUUUUCCAUGAGUAAGUGAAUCUUUUAAAGUGACAUAUCACUGGUGGUAGAAAAGUCAUAUCAUUUUCAUUAAGGGUGGGCAAAAUAUUCGACCCGAUAAAAAAAAAUCGGGUUCGGAUCAAAUCGAAUUAAAGGCUAUAUCUGAUCGGAUGCAAUAUUGCCAACCCGAUCAGAUUGUGAUCGGAUCAGGUUUCAUCCGAUCCAAUCUGAAAACUCGAUCGGAUUGGCUAAAAAAAAAAAGUGAAACACACACACACAUAAAUCACAAUUCAAAUAGACACACCCUACAUCAUCCACACAUGUACACUAUACAGCACAUACCACACCACCCACACAACAGUUGCAGCCUUCCUCACUGGCUCACCUUCAACCUUAAGUCAACACUCAACACUUAACAGCAGAGCUAAACACACACACACUAACACGGCCGACAGUACCCAACGACAGCUACGACCUCCUCCAUCAACUUAUCAUGUCACUUUCAAGAAGACAAGAAAGAAAAAAUAGUGACACACAAAUCACAAUUCACACAAACACACACCACAUCGUCCACACAUGUGUACACUAUACAGCACACGCCACACCACCUAAACAGCAGCUGCAACCUCCUUCACUGGCUCACCCUCAACUUCAAGUCAGCACUCAACACUUAACAGCAGAGCAAAACACACACAUUCACACAUCCGACAGUACCCAACCACAGCCACGACCUCCUCCCUUAACUUUUCAUCUCACUCCCAAGAAGACAAGAAAGAAGAAACAGUGACACACACAGACACAGCAAGAAAGCGGUAGCCAACCACCAAACGCAACAACCCAACCAGAUCUACUACCACCACCUACCGAAUCUGCUGAUCCAUGCCUCCACCAUCACCAAGCUCCUCCUUCAAGCUCCAUCUGAACCCUGCAAACGGCAACCCGAAUUUCUGUUUUGAAGCUUUGAGUUCGAGCCUUCGAUUAUGGUGUU